rnacentral:sRNA from 1 species
UGUGAAGUUCCCUAGGGUUCCGUAAUCGCAUGCCGUGAUUAGUCUGGUCCGAGGGGGAACGAAUGGUUCUAUGAACCAUUGAGACACGGAGGGACAAAAGCCCGGGAGAU